AGAGUUUGAUCCUGGCUCAGGACUAACGCUGGCGGUGCGCCUAAUGCAUGCAAGUCGAACGGUCCUCCCGGGCUUGCCCGGACAGGACAGUGGCGAACGGCUGAGUAACACGUAAGUGACCUGCCCCGAAGUGGAGGAUAAACCCGAGAAAUCGGGUCUAAUACUCCGUAAGUUCCAGCGGCUACGGCUGCUGGAGGAAAGGCAUUCGAUUCGUCCGAUGCCGCUUUGGGAGGGGCUUGCGGCCUAUCAGGUAGUUGGUGGGGUAAUGGCCUACCAAGCCUAAGACGGGUAGCCGAUGUGAGAGCAUGAACGGUCAGAGGGGGACUGAGACACGGCCCCCACUCCUACGGGAGGCAGCAGCAGGGAAUCUUGCGCAAUGGGCUAAAAGGCCUGACGCAGCGACACCGCGUGGGGGAUGAAGGCUUUAGGGUUGUAAACCCCUUUUCUCGGGGAAGAGUGAGGACGUACCCGA
rnacentral:rRNA from 1 species